GAAGGUCAGAGAGGCACAGACCAUCUCAAAGGCAUACUUACCCUGAUAACUUCAUGAUUUAAUGGCUGCUCUUUAUUCUCGUGAAUGUUAAUUAUUUUUGUCUUGUUUUAUUGUUGUGAAUUACUUGAGCUUAUAGUGGAACAGAAGAAACCUAAUAACAAAGAAUUUUAUUGAUAAUUGGAAGGAAACUAGGCAGUGCUAUAGGCAGUGACAGGAGCUUGUCUUUCCACUUGACUAAACCAUAAUUCAAUGACAUGGUAAAACAGAGGCAGGUGACUCAAAGGUUAGGAAAAAUCAGAAUGUUCAAGACAAACAGGAAAAAAGAAACCUGCAAAUAUUGAAAGGUAGAGAUGGUUGGAUUGUACAAUCAACAGCACCAAAACAAAAAGUGGGAAUUAAAAUGAUGGCCAAAUAAAAGCCAAACUAAAUUUAGAACCUUGGGGAAAAACUAGAGGUCAUCCAAAACAGUCAGUGAGGGACAAAGCACCUGGUUUGGAAACUGAAACUGAAUCAGAAACAAAGUGGAGGCUUUCUAGUAGAAUGAUGAAAUCCACUAUGUAAACUGAAAAAUGUGCAUCUUGGUGCAAGAGACUAAUGGGAGGUACUGUUAAAGGCAAAGCAAUAUCAUCAGAGCUGUGGCUAGAUCCAUUUUCGUGCCUCAAUGGGAAUGUACCUGAUUUUUGCUUCCUUUGAAGGUGCUCCCUUUGUGUGGAUAUCAAACUUGGUGUUCCCGUGGAAGCGGUGGGAAAUGAUCAGUAGAAACUUCUAUGCAGUCAUCUUGCUCCACGUCUCUGCCAAAGUUGAUAUUUUAAUGAUGUGCAGUUCUGGAGAGUAGGAAGUCCAAGAUCAAGGCACCAGCAGGACCAGAGUCUGAUGAAGGCCCUUUCCUCAUAAAUGACAUCAUCUAGGUGUCCUCACAUGCCUCAAGAGCUUCAUAAUCUCAAUUUCAUCCCAGCAGUCCUUGUUUUUGUCCAGUAUGCUAUAAUGCAUUUGGCAAGCAAAUCUUGAAAUUACACCAGCACUUGCAGAAAAUGACAGCCAGGCAGAUGCAGUUUCCAAGGCUCUGACCCAUCCUUGAAGCUGAGUUUGUGAAGAUUUCUCUGAGGCAUAGAUGGUGUGGGAAAGAGAUAGAUACAUAAACCAAGUCAGCAUCACGCUCACAAGGUGAAGUCCCCCGAUAGGCCGCGUGCAAGCUGAGGAGCGAGGAAGCCAGCAGUGGCUCAGUCCGAGUCCCAAAACCUCAAAAGUAGGGAAGCUGACAGUAUAGCCUUCAGUCUGUGGCAGAAGACCUGAGAGCCCCGACAAACCACUGGUGUAAGUCCAAGAGUCCAGAAGCCAAAGAACUUGGAGUCUGAUGUUCAAAGGCAGGAAGCAUCCAGCGCGGGAGAAAGAUAAACGCUGGAAAACUCAGCAAGUCAGCUUCUUCCGCCUUCUUCUGUCUUAAAGCCAAGGUGACAGCUGAUUGGAUGGUGCCCACCCA
rnacentral:lncRNA from 1 species